rnacentral:rRNA from 1 species
CCUACGGGUGGCAGCAGUGAGGAAUAUUGGUCAAUGGGCGCGAGCCUGAACCAGCCAAGUCGCGUGAGGGAAGACGGUCCUAUGGAUUGUAAACCUCUUUUGUCGGGGCGCAAAAGACGCCACGCGUGGCGUUCCGAGAGUACCCGAAGAAAAAGCAUCGGCUAACUCCGUGCCAGCAGCCGCGGUAAUACGGAGGAUGCGAGCGUUAUCCGGAUUUAUUGGGGUUAAAGUGUGCGUAGGCGGAAUAUCAAGUCAGCGGUAAAAAUUCGGGGUUCAACCCCGUCGUGCCGUUGAAACUGAUGUGCUUGAGUGGGCGAGAGGUAGGCGGAAUGCGUGGUGUAGCGGUGAAAUGCAUAGAUAUCAGGCAGAACUCCGAUUGCGAAGGCAGCAUACCGGCGCCCAACUGACGCUGAAGCACGAAAGCGUGGGUAUCGAACAGGAUUAGAUACCCUGGUAGUC